GUGGGAGGGGGCUUGCUCCCGAUGGCGGUGGCACAUUCAACAGUUGUGUUGACUGAACAACUGCUAUCGGGAGCAAGCCCCCUCCCAC
rnacentral:misc_RNA from 1 species